rnacentral:rRNA from 1 species
AUUGAACGCUGGCGGCAUGCCUAACACAUGCAAGUCGAACGGCAGCACGGGCAGCGCCCGCGCGGCGGGGGGGCGAGGGGCGGGUGAGUGAGGGGUACAUGGCCAGCUACGGGGGCGUGGGCGGCGACGGACGGAAACAUACCCCAAUAGAGCAGACGGCGUAAGGGGGGGAGCAGCGGACCUUGCGCCAUUGGAGGGGCCGAUGAGAGGUUAGCGGGUUGGUGGGGUGAAGGCCUACCAAGGCGACGAUCCGUAGCUGGUCUGAGAGGAUGAGCGGCCACACUGGAACUGAGACACGGUCCAGACUCCUACGGGAGGCAGCAGUGGGGAAUUUUGGACAAUGGGCGCAAGCCUGAUCCAGCCAUGCCGCGUGUGUGAUGAAGGCCUUCGGGUUGUAAAGCCCUUUUGUCGGGAACGAAAAGCAGUGGGUUAAUACCCCGCUUUUCUGACGGUACCCGAAGAAUAAGCACCGGCUAACUUCGUG